rnacentral:rRNA from 1 species
AUUGAACGCUGGCGGAAUGCUUUACACAUGCAAGUCGAACGGCAGCACGGGUGCUUGCACCUGGUGGCGAGUGGCGAACGGGUGAGUAAUGCACCGGAACGUAUCCAAUAAUGGGGGAUAACGCACCGAAAGGUGUGCUAAUACCGCAUACGCCCUGAGGGGGAAAGCGGGGGAUCGUAAGACCUCGCGUUAAUGGAGCGGCCGAUGCCGGAUUAGCUAGUUGGUGAGGUAAAGGCUCACCAAGGCGACGAUCCGUAGCUGGUCUGAGAGGACGACCAGCCACACUGGAACUGAGACACGGUCCAGACUCCUACGGGAGGCAGCAGUGGGGAAUUUUGGACAAUGGGCGCAAGCCUGAUCCAGCCAUUCCGCGUGAGUGAAGAAGGCCU